UUGAACAAUAUCCUCCACCACAGUUGCUAAUCUGAUAUCCCGAGCUUGUUUGGAUUGAAUAAGGUUGAGCAGCUGCUGAUUCUGCACUUGGAAUUGGACCACUCUGUGUUGCAUUUCAGCAACUUUACACGUUGCCAAUUUUAGAGCUAAUGCUUCAUCCAGCAAGAAAGAUCCUGAACUGGUUUCACGCAUUGCCCCUCAGCUGGGACAGCUCCUCCGGUCCUUUUCCCUAACUCCAAAACGGAAAAAAAAAGGAAAUUUCCAUUCUGGGCUUGGAAAAUUGCUAGUCUUUGAAGCUGUUCAUCAUCUGGUUUGUGGAGUUCCAAGAAAAUGAGAAUCUAAAUUAAGCUGUGGAUGCUGAAGACUGGUUUUAGCAUGCCUGGAUGCAAAGGUAUAAAAUCGAAGGAUUGCUUUAGCUGUCAUUGUUUUGGUGUAGAAGGCAGGGUGGGAACACAUAAGUUCAAAGGCUUGAGAAAGUGCUGAACCUAGCUGCCUCGGAAAUGAGCGCUUGGCAAAACCACCAUCACAGUGAAGCAUUGGUGUUUUGUUGCAGAUGUCUUCUCUUAGAAUAUGGAGACAAGUAUUACAUGUAUAAAAUCUAGCAUGAACUUUUCACCAUCUGUCUGUACAGUAUCCCUCUUCCACAUGUAGCAUUCACUCUCUGUAAAUAAUACUACUGUUACCUAUUAAGAAAACUCGGAAUCUGGUAAUUGAGCACUCGAGCGAUAGGUCACUUGUGGAAAUUGAAGUUUAAUCAAGAUGUGCAUGUAGAUCAAAUCUUGAAAAAUGUACUUUUCUUUCCCAUUAAGAGUUGUCUCUUAGGUUUCCUC